rnacentral:rRNA from 1 species
GACGAACGCUGGCGGCGUGCCUAAUACAUGCAAGUUGAGCGCUGAAGGUUGGUACUUGUCCCGACUGGAUGAGCAGCGAACGGGUGAGUAACGCGUGGGGAAUCUGCCUUUGAGCGGGGACAACAUUUGGAAACGAAUGCUAAUACCGCAUAAAAACUUUAAACACAAGUUUUAAGUUUGAAAGAUGCAAUUGCAUCACUCAAAGAUGAUCCCGCGUUGUAUUAGCUAGUUGGUGAGGUAAAGGCUCACCAAGGCGAUGAUACAUAGCCGACCUGAGAGGGUGAUCGGCCACAUUGGGACUGAGACACGGCCCAAACUCCUACGGGAGGCAGCAGUAGGGAAUCUUCGGCAAUGGACGAAAGUCUGACCGAGCAACGCCGCGUGAGUGAAGAAGGGUUUCGGAUCGUAAAACUCUGUUGGUAGAGAAGAACGUUGGUGAGAGUGGAAAGCUCAUCAAGUGACGGUAACUACCCAGAAAGGGACGGCUAACUACGUG